rnacentral:rRNA from 1 species
UACGUAGGCAGCAAGCGUUGUUCGGAAUUACUGGGCGUAAAGGGCUCGUAGGCGGCCAACUAAGUCAUACGUGAAAUCCCUCGGCUUAACCGGGGAACUGCGUCUGAUACUGGAUGGCUUGAGUUCGGGAGAGGGAUGCGGAAUUCCAGGUGUAGCGGUGAAAUGCGUAGAUAUCUGGAGGAACACCGGUGGCGAAGGCGGCAUCCUGGACCGAUACUGACGCUGAGGAGCGAAAGCCAGGGGAGCAAACGGG